rnacentral:rRNA from 1 species
GAUGAACGCUGGCGGCGUGCCUAAUACAUGCAAGUCGAGCGAACAGAUGAGGAGCUUGCUCCUCUGACGUUAGCGGCGGACGGGUGAGUAACACGUGGAUAACCUACCUAUAAGACUGGGAUAACUUCGGGAAACCGGAGCUAAUACCGGAUAAUAUAUUGAACCGCAUGGUUGAAUAGUGAAAGACGGUUUUGCUGUCACUUAUAGAUGGAUCCGCGCCGCAUUAGCUAGUGGGUAAGGUAACGGCUUACCAAGGCAACGAUGCGUAGCCGACCUGAGAGGGUGAUCGGCCACACUGGAACUGAGACACGGUCCAGACUCCUACGGGAGGCAGCAGUAGGGAAUCUUCCGCAAUGGGCGAAAGCCUGACGGAGCAACGCCGCGUGAGUGAUGAAGGUCUUCGGAUCGUAAAACUCUGUUAUUAGGGAAGAACAAAUGUGUAAGUAACUAUGCACGUCUUGACGGUACCUAAUCAGAAAGCCACGGCUAACUACGUG